UACGUAGGGUGCAAGCGUUAAUCGGAAUUACUGGGCGUAAAGCGUGCGCAGGCGGGUUUGUAAGUCUGACGUGAAAUCCCCGGGCUCAACCUGGGAAUUGCGUUGGAGACUGCAAGGCUGGAGUCUGGCAGAGGGGGGUAGAAUUCCACGUGUAGCAGUGAAAUGCGUAGAGAUGUGGAGGAACACCGAUGGCGAAGGCAGCCCCCUGGGUCAAGACUGACGCUCAUGCACGAAAGCGUGGGGAGCAAACAGG
rnacentral:rRNA from 1 species